rnacentral:rRNA from 1 species
UACUGCUAGUCCGACCGUCGGAUCCUGGGCGUAAGGGCGCGUAGCGGCGUGCUAGUCAAUGUGAAAUCCCACGGCUCAACCGUGGAAGUGCAUUUGAAACUGGCAUGCUUGAGUACCAGAGGGGAAGGUGGAAUUCCCGGUGUAGAGGUGAAAUUCGUAUAUAUCGGGAGGAAUACCGGUGGCGAAGGCGACUUUCUGGCUGGAUACUGACGCUGAUGCUCGAAAGCGUGGGGAGCAAAUUUGAUUAAAUACCCUGGUAUUCCACCCCGUAAACCAUGUGCACCAAAUGUUGGAAGUGUUGAUCCCAUCAGAGUCAGAUCUGAUUGAUUGUUGUUCCCGCCUGGAAAGUAAGGCCACUAUAUUAAAACUCGGAGGAAUUGACGGGAGGCCGCACAACCGGCGAACUAGGUGGUUUAAUUCUACGUGAACCAUCAAACCUUACCUAUUCUUUACAUCCCAGGUAUUUUUAAGAAACUAAACAGAACUUUCAUUAGAGACCACCUGUUGACACUUGCUGCAUGAAUGCCGCCAACUCGUGUCGAGAG